GUCCAGUGCUUUCAUUGAGAACAACUAGAAACUCUGGAUAAUAUUCCACAAAACCAAAAUUAAUUUGGAGGCAUCCCAGAACUGCUGUGGUAACCAGGAUUUGAGGGGCCAACAUCUUAGAGAGAAGGAAGGCCUGGAAAAGUAAUCUCACAUUCAGUGAUUUCCCCCUCAAGGAAUUUGGUGUACUUAAGAUACAAAGGACAAGAAGAUACAAGAGAGAAACUAAGUAGAACAUUUCUGAGAAGCAGAGCAGAGUCUUAGCAGUCUUGUGGAGCUGAGUAGAAAACAACUUUAAGUGCAAGAGGGAAGGAUCAUUCUGGGGUGACAGAGCUGUGCUAUAUCUUAUUCAUGGUGAUUGUUAUUUAACUAUAUGCACUUGUCAAAACUUGCAGAACUGUACACUGAAAAGAGUAAAUUUUACUGUAUGCAGAUUACACUGUGAUAAACGGUCUUGGAUACAACCUUAGUUAGGACCUUUGGAGAAUUCAGCCAAGGAGAGGGAGCAAACCAGAGGUUGAAGGAGUCAUGCAAAAUGGAAGAGAAGUUGUAGGUCAGCUCAGCCCCGUUUCACUGAAGAGAACUUUCCCAACUCCAUUGAAACAACCAGAAGAGUCAUGGUGUACCUGAAGUUUAAACUGGGUAUAACUACCAGUCAUCACGAAAGACCUAGUGUAGAUAAUAAAAAGUCCAAAGUUUGUGGAAAGGCAGUGGCAGUUGUUUCUCUUGUCUUCAUCAUCGUAAUCAUCACCACUGCAACUACCACUGUCAUCAUUAUCAACAAGCACUGACUGUUGUUUGUGAGGCGUGAUGUGAAGUCACCUAGGUUUCAGCAAGUGAUAAGAAAUGGUGCACUAAAUUUUUAUGUAUAUUAAAUUUUCCAAUGGA